rnacentral:snRNA from 1 species
GUGCUCCCUUUGGCAUCACAUAAACUGAAAUUAGAAUAAUACAGAGAAGAUUAGCAU